rnacentral:rRNA from 1 species
UACGUAGGGUGCGAGCGUUAUUCGGAAUUACUGGGCGUAAAGCGUGCGCAGGCGGUUUUGUAAGCCAGAUGUGAAAUCCCCGGGCUUAACCUGGGAAUGGCAUUUGGGACUGCAAGGCUGGAGUUUGGCAGAGGAGACUGGAAUUCCUGGUGUAGCAGUGAAAUGCGUAGAUAUCAGGAGGAAUACCGAUGGCGAAGGCAGGUCUCUGGGCUAUAACUGACGCUCAUGCACGAAAGCGUGGGGAGCAAACAGG